GUGACAUGUCCCAAUGCUUCCUUCACUGACCUGGCAGAAAUUGUGUCCCGCAUUGAGCCCGUCAAACCUCCUCUUGUGGAUGAAGAAUCCGACUACCACACUGACUAUGAAGAGGAUGCACUGGAGAGUGCUCUCUCUGACAUGGAGACGUAUAAUCGCUAUGGAGAGCACACCGAAGGGGAGGAGACGGCUGACACGAUUUAACAAAGAAAAAUGGGGAUGACUAUGCACGCCUCAACCUGAUUCUCAGGAUGUAGAACUGGAUGGGAGAUCGACAUGCUCCAUUACCCCGCCCAUCAGCUGCCACCAUCAGUUUCCAGAUAUCCCUAACAGUUCACUGGAAGCGAUGUCAAACCAGCAAGUAAAUUCCAAGUAGUCUAUUUUUGUGAAUGGUGGAGUAAUAAAAGUUGCUUAAACAGGUUA